UAGCCACUUAUAUCAAAGUCCUCUCCAGU
rnacentral:piRNA from 1 species